UACGAAGGGUGCAAGCGUUACUCGGAAUUACUGGGCGUAAAGCGCACGUAGGCGGAUUUGUAAGUCAGGGGUGAAAUCCCGGGGCUCAACCUCGGAACUGCCUUUGAUACUGCAAGUCUUGAGUCCGGAAGAGGUGGGUGGAAUUCCUAGUGUAGAGGUGAAAUUCGUAGAUAUUAGGAAGAACACCGGUGGCGAAGGCGGCCCACUGGUCCGGUACUGACGCUGAGGUGCGAAAGCGUGGGGAGCAAACAGG
rnacentral:rRNA from 1 species